rnacentral:rRNA from 1 species
ACUCCUACGGGAGGCAGCAGUGGGGAAUAUUGCACAAUGGGGGAAACCCUGAUGCAGCCAUGCCGCGUGUGUGAAGAAGGCCUUCGGGUUGUAAAGCACUUUCAGUAGGGAGGAAGGUAGUGUAGUUAACACCUGCACUAUUUGACGUUACCUACAGAAGAAGCACCGGCUAACUCCGUGCCAGCAGCCGCGGUAAUACGGAGGGUGCGAGCGUUAAUCGGAAUUACUGGGCGUAAAGCGCAUGCAGGCGGCCUGUUAAGUCAGAUGUGAAAGCCCGGGGCUUAACCUCGGAAUUGCAUUUGAAACUGGCAGGCUAGAGUCUUGUAGAGGGGGGUAGAAUUUCAGGUGUAGCGGUGAAAUGCGUAGAGAUCUGAAGGAAUACCGGUGGCGAAGGCGGCCCCCUGGACAGAUACUGACACUCAGAUGCGAAAGCGUGGGGAGCAAACA